rnacentral:rRNA from 1 species
GGCAACAGCUCAAAUUUGAAAUCUGGCCCCCAGGGCCCGAGUUGUAAUUUGCAGAGGAUGCUUUUGGCGCGGUGCCUUCCGAGUUCCCUGGAACGGGACGCCAUAGAGGGUGAGAGCCCCGUCUGGUCGGACACCAAGCCAGUGUAAAGCUCCUUCGACGAGUCGAGUAGUUUGGGAAUGCUGCUCUAAAUGGGAGGUAUAUGUCUUCUAAAGCUAAAUACCGGCCAGAGACCGAUAGCGCACAAGUAGAGUGAUCGAAAGAUGAAAAGCACUUUGAAAAGAGGGUUAAACAGUACGUGAAAUUGUUGAAAGGGAAGCGUUUAUGACCAGACUUGGGCCCGGUGAAUCAUCCAGCGUUCUCGCUGGUGCACUUUGCCGGGCUCAGGCCAGCAUCAGUUCGUCGCGGGGGACAAAAGCUUCGGGAACGUGGCUCCCUCGGGAGUGUUAUAGCCCGUUGCAUAAUACCCUGCGGUGGACUGAGGUUCGCGCUCCGCAAGGAUGCUGGCGUAAUGGUCAUCAGCGACCCGUCUUGAAACACGGACCAAGGAGUCGUCUUCGUAUGCGAGUGUUCGGGUGUCAAACCCCUACGCGUAAUGAAAGUGAACGCAGGUGAGAGCUUCGGCGCAUCAUCGACCGAUCCUGAUGUUCUCGGAUGGAUUUGAGUAAGAGCAUACGGGGCCGGACCCGAAAGAAGGUGAACUAUGCCUGUAUAGGGUGAAGCCAGAGGAAACUCUGGUGGAGGCUCGCAGCGGUUCUGACGUGCAAAUCGAU